CAACUAAAAUUGGAAAUUGUUGCUAGUAAUUCAUUACAGAGGGAGUAGUUUUUUGAUCUGUACAAGACAUAGUGGCAGACAACGUUCUGAGUUAUUUAU
rnacentral:pre_miRNA from 1 species